AACCCCAACUUCGGGAGGGGUGUAUUUAUUAGAUAAAAAACCAACGCCCUUCGGGGCUUCUUGGUGAUUCAUGAUAACUUUACGGAUCGCAUGGCCUUGCGCCGGCGACGGUUCAUUCAAAUUUCUGCCCUAUCAACUUUCGAUGGUAAGGUAUUGGCUUACCAUGGUUUCAACGGGUAACGGGGAAUUAGGGUUCGAUUCCGGAGAGGGAGCCUGAGAAACGGCUACCACAUCCAAGGAAGGCAGCAGGCGCGCAAAUUACCCAAUCCCGACACGGGGAGGUAGUGACAAUAAAUACUGAUACAGGGCUCUUUUGGGUCUUGUAAUUGGAAUGAGUACAAUUUAAACCUCUUAACGAGGAACAAUUGGAGGGCAAGUCUGGUGCCAGCAGCCGCGGUAAUUCCAGCUCCAAUAGCGUAUAUUAAAGUUGUUGCAGUUAAAAAGCUCGUAGUUGAAACUUGGGUCUGGCUGGCAGGUCCGCCUCACCGCGUGUACUUGUCCGGCCGGGCCUUCCUUCUGGAGAACCUCAUGCCCUUCACUGGGCGUGUUGGGGACCAGGACUUUUACUUUGAAAAAAUUAGAGUGUUCAAAGCAGGCCUUUGCUCGAAUACGUUAGCAUGGAAUAAUAGAAUAGGACGUGCGGUCCUAUUUUGUUGGUUUCUAGGACCGCCGUAAUGAUUAAUAGGGACAGUCGGGGGCAUCAGUAUUCAAUUGUCAGAGGUGAAAUUCUUGGAUUUAUUGAAGACUAACUACUGCGAAAGCAUUUGCCAAGGAUGUUUUCAUUAAUCAGUGAACGAAAGUUAGGGGAUCGAAGACGAUCAGAUACCGUCGUAGUCUUAACCGUAAACUAUGCCGACUAGGGAUCGGGCGAUGUUCUUUUUCUGACUCGCUCGGCACCUUAC
rnacentral:rRNA from 1 species